UACGUAGGGGGCAAGCGUUGUCCGGAUUCAUUGGGCGUAAAGAGCGUGUAGGCGGCCAGGUAGGUCGGUUGUGAAAACUGGAGGCUCAACCUUCAGAGGUCGACCGAAACCAUCUGGCUAGAGUCCGGGAGAGGAGAGUGGAAUUCCUGGUGUAGCGGUGAAAUGCGCAGAUAUCAGGAAGAACACCCGUGGCGAAAGCGCGCGACUGGACCUGAACUGACACUGAGGGACGAAAGCUAGGGGAGCGAAAGGG
rnacentral:rRNA from 1 species